AGGAAAAACCAUUUUAAAAGUAUUGUUUGCAAGAUGCAAGACAUACAUAAUAUUGCCCAGCUCAAGCAGCAGAGGGAUUAUAGAACCCGCAAUACUGGGAAAAAUACUCCCUAUAAGAUAAAUGAUUAGGUGCUUAUCUGGAACAGCUAUUGAGCUGAUAGGAAGGGUGGAAAAAUAACACAGCCUUGGCUGGGUUCUUUUACAAUAGUUGGGAUUGACAAAACAAUGUAGAGCUAAUGAGAGCCUGUGGGAAACAGAUAAAAACCUAAGCAAAUAAUUGUAACAUAAAACAUCAUGUUACAAGAAAAGAUGACACAAUUAAAGCAGGACAGAAAAAAG